rnacentral:rRNA from 1 species
UACGUAGGGGGCAAGCGUUGUCCGGAUUUAUUGGGCGUAAAGAGCGUGUAGGCGGUUUGGUAGGUCCGCUGUGAAAACUCGAGGCUCAACCUCGAGACGCCGGUGGAAACCAUCAGGCUAGAGUCCGGAAGAGGAGAGUGGAAUUCCUGGUGUAGCGGUGAAAUGCGCAGAUAUCAGGAAGAACACCAAUGGCGAAGGCAGCUCGCUGGGACGGUACUGACGCUGAGACGCGAAAGCGUGGGGAGCAAACAGG